rnacentral:lncRNA from 1 species
CCCCGCCCCGCGCCGGGCUAGUGGCGCCAGGUCCCUCCUGGAGCGGCUCCAGCCGCACAGCCGCCGCCGCUCGGGUUCGUCCUCCGGCAGCUGAUGUCCAGCCGGGUGCUCGGGCGGUACGCAGUGGCACACAGCCACAGGAUGUCAGCCGAACGCACACCUCGAAGGUUGGCCUUCACAGUCAUACUUUAUGCACCCUAUCCAGGACAGCGAUCUUCGGUCUAGGGUACAUAUUCCCUGAAGGUAUGUGAAGACUUUUAAGGUGUUUACAAGUAUGGACAGCUUUGAAGAUCCUCCAUUUUCAUAUCUAUUCUUUCCUAAAAGUGAAAUAUUUCUUUUUUAAAAUUUUUUUAACGUUUAUUUAUUAUUGAGAGACACAGAGAGACAGAGUGCGAGCAAAGGAGGGGCAGAGAGAGAGGGAGACACAGAAUCCGAAGCAGGCUCCAGGCUCAGAGCUGUCAGCACAGAGCCUGACGCGGGGCUUGAACUCACAAACUGCGAAUUCAUGACCUGAGCCGAAGUCGGACGCUUAACCGACUGAGCCACCCAGGCACCC